AGGACAGUCAUUGAAAAGCUACACGGAAGAAGAUGAAUCUUUAAAGCAAUUGCAAGUAGUUCAUCAACCGUGGAUCUUGCCAAGCGACACAGAAAGUGAAGGUGUGGAAGCAGAACAAGAUAAACGUUCUGCUGAUCUUCUUCUCUGUGUUCCGUGCUCCUCUUGUCCUGCACUGGUCUACUCUGGUCUGUGAAGCAGACAGAAGAAGCUACAAGUGGUCCUUAAAGAAAUUGCAAUUAUUCAAAUCUUUAUGUAUAGUUCUAAUUUUACUUACUAUGUAUAAUCAUUUAGAGAAUGGUUAUUUUUAUAAUAUCAAUAAUAAACAAGUACUCUUGUAACCAGGGGGUGCCCGAGUGUGUCAUCAGAGAACACUAAUCCUGGCAAAGGUUUCUGGGGUGGUUAGGACACCCGCUGCCUUUUGACAUGGUUAGUGUCCUGGGUUUAGAUUACUUCAUACCUAGUUAUUAAGAUUACUCUUUGAUACAUUAAAUAUUGCCUGAUUCAAAUAACUUUGCUUAAAAUUUUUCUGUAUUUUAACUUGUUGAGGGUUUUCUACUUCUUAUAUUUUUAUAAUAUUUUCUCAUUUUUUAGAUUAAUGAACAUUAUACUUACCCACAUGUGCCAAGAUGUGCCAUUUAGGUCUCUCUAGGAGUUAGCUGUUUGGUAGCAUCACCUGCCAUCUGUGUUUUGUGCAGCAGCAAGAGGCAUAUUCUCCACCACUGCUCUUUCCUCCCAUUAUCUUCCCUGUUCCUAUCAAAACAAAUAAUUGAUAUGUUAAUUCAAUAAAGCAGAUCAGUAAGGAGUGAAAUGCAUGCCCCAAAGCAUAUGCAAUGAAAAUUUUUUGACCAUUUAUCCAAUUAUUGAACCCAAUUAAGAUUAUCCAUUUUAAAUUUGAUGUAUGCUUGCUUUGGAAUAUGUUAUGCAAACUGAUGCUAAGUGAAUGGAUCUAAGUAAAUCUAUUGAGUAUCUCUUCUGUCUGUUUUAUCUUAUUUGUCUUAAUCUAAGUUUGCUCUCUGGACCUUUAAGGCAUAUGGCUAAAUUAUAAAACUGCCUGUAUAACUGUCAAAGAAACAAACG